rnacentral:tmRNA from 1 species
GGGGCUGACAAAGCUUAGACGGGACAUUAACAGAUAUCAGGCACGUCGAUUAAUACCGUAAGUAUAAAUAAGUGAAGAAAAAUCUUCCAAGCAUGUGCUUUUUGCACCUGCAUACGCUUAAGAUAUAAUUAUUAAGCUGGCCCCUGUUUUGAGUUUCCAUAGAGACAGAGGUUAUCAUACAUAUGGGAAUAGAUUUUCUCUCUGGUAAAGAGAAGAUCGAAGCUAAAUACCUCGGUUCUAACAGUCUCGUUUGUUCAUCUGUUAGUUUAUCUUAAAGAAGAAGAAACUAAGCGUGUAGAAUGAUGUCCAAGUGGUGUUUCGGACCCGGAGGCAGUAUCCGGCAGCUCCACCA